rnacentral:rRNA from 1 species
AUUGAACGCUGGCGGCAGGCCUAACACAUGCAAGUCGAACGAGUGGCGGACGGGUGAGUAAUGUCUGGGAAACUGCCUGAUGGAGGGGGAUAACUACUGGAAACCGUAGCUAAUACCACAUACCAUAGGAUGUGCCCAGAGUGGAUUAGCUAGUGGGUGGGGUAAUGGCUCACCUAGGCGACGACCCCUAGCUGGUCUGAGAGGAUGACCAGCCACACUGGAACUGAGACACGGUCCAGACUCCUACGGGAGGCAGCAGUGGGGAAUAUUGCACAAUGGGCGCAAGCCUGAUGCAGCCAUGCCGCGUGUAUGAAGAAGGCCUUCGGGUUGUAAAGUACUUUCAGCGAGGAGGCGUUACUCGCAGAAGAAGCACCGGCUAACUCCGUGCCAGCAGCCGCGGUAAUUC